UACGUAGGGUGCAAGCGUUGUCCGGAAUUAUUGGGCGUAAAGGGCUCGUAGGCGGCCAACUAAGUCAGACGUGAAAUCCCUCGGCUUAACCGGGGAACUGCGUCUGAUACUGGAUGGCUUGAGUUUGGGAGAGGGAUGCGGAAUUCCAGGUGUAGCGGUGAAAUGCGUAGAUAUCUGGAGGAAUACCGGUGGCGAAGGCGGCAUCCUGGACCGGCAUUGACGCUGAACAGCGAAAGCUAGGGGAGCAAACGGG
rnacentral:rRNA from 1 species